rnacentral:rRNA from 1 species
CACGAACGCUGGCGGCGUGCUUAACACAUGCAAGUCGAGCGGUAAGGCCUCUUCGGGGGUACACGAGCGGCGAACGGGUGAGUAACACGUGAGUAAUCUGCCCUUCACUUCGGGAUAACCAUCGGAAACGGUGGCUAAUACCGGAUAUGACUCGUCCCCGCAUGGGGGUGGGUGGAAAGUUUUUUCGGUGGAGGAUGGGCUCGCGGCCUAUCAGCUUGUUGGUGCGGUAACGGCUCACCAAGGCUUCGACGGGUAGCCGGCCUGAGAGGGUGACCGGCCACACUGGGACUGAGACACGGCCCAGACUCCUACGGGAGGCAGCAGUGGGGAAUAUUGGACAAUGGGCGGAAGCCUGAUCCAGCAACGCCGCGUGAGGGAUGACGGCCUUCGGGUUGUAAACCUCUUUCAGCUCCGACGAAGCGCCCGUGAGGGUGGUGACGGUAGGUGCAGAAGAAGGACCGGCCAACUACGUGCCAGCCGCCGCGGUAACAC